rnacentral:rRNA from 1 species
AUUGAACGCUGGCGGCAUGCCUUACACAUGCAAGUCGAACGGUAACAGGUCUUCGGAUGCUGACGAGUGGCGAACGGGUGAGUAAUACAUCGGAACGUGCCCGAGAGUGGGGGAUAACGAGGCGAAAGCUUUGCUAAUACCGCAUACGAUCUCAGGAUGAAAGCAGGGGACCGCAAGGCCUUGCGCUCACGGAGCGGCCGAUGGCAGAUUAGGUAGUUGGUGGGAUAAAAGCUUACCAAGCCGACGAUCUGUAGCUGGUCUGAGAGGACGACCAGCCACACUGGGACUUAGACACGGCCCAGACUCCUACGGGAGGCAGCAGUGGGGAAUUUUGGACAAUGGGCGCAAGCCUGAUCCAGCCAUGCCGCGUGCAGGAUGAAGGCCUUCGGGUUGUAAACUGCUUUUGUACGGAACGAAAAGACUCUGGUUAAUACCUGGGGUCCAUGACGGUACCGUAAGAAUAAGCACCGGCUAACUACGUGCCAGCCGCCGCAGUAAAAC